CUGAGCAGAAUCAUCCUGAAGAAACAGACAACUUUAAAACUGGUGCACUUACAGGGGGCGUUAUUGGUGGUGUAGUAGUGCUAGUGUCUGCUGUAGCUAUAACUGUUUUUGUCAAACGAAGAUUAUCACGAAAGGAAGCACAAGACUAUGAAAACAAGCGAGAGACUACAACUUCUGGCGGAAAUGCAACUCAACCAGGACCAUACGAAACAUUAAAUAGCAGCCGCAUGGAGAAAAAUGACAGAGAUAUCUACACCAGGUUGUUCUCGGCAGGACAAGUUAAAAUGACGAAAGGUGCAAGCCCUAAUAGAACCACAGUAGAUCUUUUGAAUGUCGUAGGUGAUGAAAGAGACAAAUCUGGAUCGUAUGAAAUAUUAAAUGCAACCCUUUUUAAAGAAAAUGAGGGAAGUGAUACCUACAAAAGGCUUUUCACGACAGGACAAGCUGGAGGAACAGACAAUGACAAUUCCGAAAAUAUUUCAAUGGAUAAUCUUACAAUAAGUCUGGAUUCUCACUCAUACGCAAACACGAUGAUAAGGCAAUGACAACAUCAUCGAGGAUAUUAAAAAACAAGCCAAAAUAUGAAAUCAUAGUUGAAGAAAUCACAACACCGUUCAAGAAACGACAACACAGGUCAAGACAUAAAACACUAUUAGUUUAUUGUUUAAGGUGUUUAUGUUUUGAAGCACUAUAAUUUAAUUUAAAGAAACACUUAUUUUCUGGAACCGAGUAUCAUACAGUCACAGUGACAUUAAUUUAUAUAAUAGUGGAUUUUUGGUAGAUAGCUGUCGACUGUGGCAAUAUUGUUGAAACUGUUUUUUCCAGAUAUUCGUAAAGCUUUCGAUCUUGUUAAUCAUGGUAUUCUUGUUCCUGAAAUACAUAUGUAUCAUGUUUUUCGUUCCAGCUAUAGGCAAUGUGUAAGUUGAUGGUGACAAAAUCUACAUUGCAAUAUGUCAAAAGUAAUGGUACACAAGCAACCGUUAUGCAACAAUAUUCAUUUUAAUUUAUGCUCCGGCUUGCUCGGAGUGUUUGGCAUGUGACCUCAUUUUCUUCAAUUAUUUUUCAUAGGUUAUCAUUUGGAAAAAAGAUCAGCUAAUAUAGGUUUCUUUUAUUUUUAAUUAUGUUUUCUUUAUUUGUUAACAGUUUUGGUACAAUGAUGCUUUUUAUUAUGAAACUCUGUGAUCACACAAUUUUAAACCUUUAUUUUAUGAGGUAGACUGUGUGUGAUGCUCAUAGUUUCAAACAAUGACUGCAUCGUAUCUUUGAAAGUUUUAGGCAUUAGGUGCUCUGAAUUGUAUUCCUCAGUCUGCAGAUAGAGUUGAGUUAGAGUAAUCAUAACAGUACUUGGGGUUUACCUAUUCGUUUAUUAAUAUAAUUUGUUUUUUUAUUAAGUUUCCUCAAGUAAUACAUGCUUUGAUAAGAUUUACCUUUUACGAUUGUUGGGAUUAGGGUGAGGUUUGUGCACGUAAACUGGUUUAAACCCCCAGUAAAUUUAUAAUUUACUGAUCGUUCCAAGGCAGUACCUAACAAUCCUUGAUAAACAUACCUAGUUUUUGUUAUAAAGUAUAUAUGCACUGUGCUGUUUGUGAAGUUUUGUGCUGUUCUUCCAUGUUUCUUAUUUGUGAUUUUUUUUUUGUGUUCUAUGUCUUUGGCGUUUACCCAGUGCCAUUAAACCGGGUUGAUUUUUUAAACUUGUUUCUGUAGUUUUUCUCAAACGUAUUCAUAUCAAUUGUUUAAACUUUUUUGUCAGAACAAAUCCUGUAUUUACCUCUUGUCUGAUGAUUCUAUACACAAUUUAGUAUAUUUCCCGAAUUGAAAAUGCUCAUAUUUUAAUGAUGAAUGUCUGGCAGUUGCAAUAUGACGAUUGCUGGUCAUAAUAAUUGAAUGUUUGUGCUGUUUCCAUAUAAAAAUUGUAAAUCCAAAAACCAAGUAUAGUCCACAUUUUGUCACACGUGACUACUUCAUUGUUAACAAUUUAAGCAAGUACCUUAAUGUAGUAUCUUUAUAAAAUAAUGUCAUUGUUAAAAUCACGAGCAGGACAAACUGGUUUACGUACA